AGCAGCCGCGGUAAUUCCAGCUCCAAUAGCGUAUAUUAAAGUUGUUGCAGUUAAAAAGCUCGUAGUUGAAUUUCGGGACCAAUUUGUUGGUCGUGCCUCGGUACGUACUGGUAUUAUUGGUUUCUCCCUUCUGAAGAACCUCGAUGCCAUUAAUUUGGUGUCGUGGGGAAUCAGGACUGUUACUUUGAAAAAUUAGAGUGUUUAAAGCAAGCAUACGCUUGAAUACAUUAGCAUGGAAUAAUGAAAUAGGACGUUUGAUUCUAUUUUGUUGGUUUCUAGGAUCGACGUAAUGAUUAAUAGGGAUAGUUGGGGGCAUUAGUAUUCAAUUGUCAGAGGUGAAAUUCUUGGAUUUAUUGAAGACUAACUACUGCGAAAGCAUUUGCCAAGGAUGUUUUCAUUAAUCAAGAACGAAAGUUAGGGGAUCGAAGACGAUCAGAUACCGUCGUAGUCUUAACCAUAAACUAUG
rnacentral:rRNA from 1 species